rnacentral:lncRNA from 12 species
ACCCUGGGGCCAAAAGGACCAUUCAAAUCCCAGCCUGGCCAUUUACCGGGCAGUGUGACCUUUUGGCAGAUGGGACCAACAUGUUCCAUUGGAAUCUUGCGGUGAUUAAAAGCAGGUAAAAUGUGUAUUGUAGUCUGUGUGUGUGAGCAUUAGCUCUCAUUAUUGAGAGCUCCCUCAGUCCAUGAGGGCUUACUAAAAAAGUUCUCAAAGCCCAUCUACAUUUGUUACUCAUUGUCCACUCUUUUCCCUGGGAACUUCUGUGUCCUGUCCAGGGUCAUGUCUCACUCCUCAAACCACCCAGCUAUUUCUCCCUACUUUGAAACUCAGCUCUGGAAUCUGCGAUUGCUUAUUUGGGCUCUCCAACCACCCAGUAGCAAUUUCUAACAUUUAAACAUAAAUCGGGGCAUUGCCUGAAGCACUCUGUUUGGCUUUUGAGGACUUCUCCUCCCCUAUCCUAAGCAACUUUCUAUGAUUUAAGAUCCUCCUCUCUUUGCCUCCAAUUCCUCAUUCCUGAUCCUCUCAUUCCCUAUCUAGGCCAAAGUCUAGAUUAGAGAGGAAAUUUCCAUCAAGUUUAGAAAAUGUGACAUGUGGUCAGCUUGGGGGAAGAAGAUGGGGAAAGAAUCCUGCCUGUUCCUUUGUUUUUUUUUCCCAUGUAAAUUCACACCUUUGUAAAUUACUCCCUACCCUUAUUCAGUUUCUCAACCUUCUUUUAACUCCCAUUGAACAAUACAACUAUUUCCUUCUACACCCCACCCCCCAGCUUACUCCACAUUUCAACAUGACUGGAACAACCGGUGACAGGAUUCUGGCCAGUUAAGAUAGGGACAGGAACCCAAGGAACAGAAUACCAGAUGAUCAUCUUUCAGCAGGAACAAUCCAACCAAUGAUGAUGCCUCAGCCAAAUCAUUCCAAUGCACAUGGAUCCUGACUUUUCAUUCAUCCAUACUUCAUUUAUUCACAACUUAAAACCCAGGAUAAGAGUGUCUUAAUUGACCAACCAGAAUCAUUUGCCCUUGUCCUAACUAAGGGUGCAUUUGGGAAGAGGUUUGUCUCUAGACCUUUCUAUUUCCCUAGCGGGAGGUGAGACUGGCUUUGACUCACCCAGUGGGAAGUUACCCUAAAUAGAGCUUUGGAUGCUAGACAGUCACAAACAUUGAUUGUCCUCUGUACCAUGGGUGGAAUUAAUUCAGGCCUGUAACAAUGACUGAAUCACAAUUAAUGUUAUAUUUUAGUCCCCUUGCUGAUAUCAGAGAAACCCCAGAAACAAGUUACCAUUUAGCAUAAUUUCUACACAUGAUUAAUUUCACUUUGGUUUUAGGUGACAUUUAAUGAUAUGAGAAUGCUCCCUAACGAGGAGCCUACAGCUUCAUGCCUUUGAUUAAAAGACCCCAUUCAUGUAACCACAUCAGAUCCAGGUUGUGGAGAACCGUCUCCCUGAGUGAAGGGUCCAGAUCCAGUUUUAAAGAGUUGUCUUUUUUUUUUUUUUAAAUAAUUUUUAAGAGAGGGACACCUGGGUGGCUCAGUGGCUGAGAAUUAGCCUUUGGCUCAGGACGUGAUCCCGGGACCAGGAUCGAGUCCCACAUCGACUAAACCGCUGCGCCACCCAGGAGAAUCUUUUUUUUUUUUUUUUUUUUUUUUUUAAUUUAUUUGGGGAUCCCUGGGUGGCUCAGUGGUUUGGCGCCUGCCUUUGGCCCAAGGCGCGAUCCUGGAGUCCCGGGAUCGAAUCCCACGUCGAGCUCCCUGCAUGGAGCCUGCUUCUCCCUCUGCCUGUGUCUCUGCCUCUCUCUCUCUCUCUCUCUCUCUCUCUAUGUCUAUCAUAAAUAAACAAAUCUUUAAAAAAAAUAAAAAUAAUUUA